rnacentral:sRNA from 12 species
CCUUGACAAUCGCAUAAUGCGGUUGACAUAACCCAGACAAGGAGACAAACAUG